UCUGAAUCUGCGAACGGCUCCGCAAACCAGUUGUAAACUAUAGCAAGCAAGUCUGGGCCCGGCCUUCACGGGCAGGGUCUGGGCGAUAUGGAUAACCCUGGUAAUUCUGAGGCUAAUACAAGAGCGUAACCCUCGGCUGACCGGCCUCGGCUGGGAGGCUGAGGGACGUGUGAUUGUGGCUUGGGUAAACCGGGAAAGGGCACACGUUCAGACCGCGCUACAAAGGAUCGGGACCCCUCUCGGGGGGACCUGGCCCCAGCGGCUCUUGCUGUGUGCUUCUGACCUAUCAACUAGACGGCAGCGUAAAGGACAUGCUAUGGU
rnacentral:rRNA from 1 species